GACGAAGCAGUAUUGUUCCUACAUAUGAUUUGAACCAUUUUACUAAUGAAUUAUGGGCAUUUUUGUUGCCUACUAUUCUCCAGCAAGUCUUAGUUGAGUUGACAAAUGACCCCAAGCUUGUUUAUCACUGUGGAUUGACACCAAAAAAGCUACCGGAACUGGUGGAGAACAAUCCCCUCAUUGCAGUUGAAGUGCUCAUUAAGUUGAUGAAUUCACCUGAAAUUUCAGAAUAUUUUACAGUCCUUGUCAGUAUGGAUAUGAGUUUACAUUCAAUGGAAGUUGUGAAUAGGCUUACUACAGCUGUUGAGCUUCCCACAGAAUUUGUACACA